UGCCCCAUGGCUGAGUUGGUUACAGCGUCCGACUGUUAUUUAAACUCCAUCGGAAGGUCGAGAGUUCGAGCCUCUCUGGGGCAG